CCAACAGGGAUUGCCUCAGUAACGGCGAGUGAAGCGGCAACAGCUCAAAUUUGAAAUCUGGCCCUAGGCCCGAGUUGUAAUUUGCAGAGGAUGCUUCUGGCGCGGUGCCUUCCAAGUCCCCUGGAACGGGGCGCCAUAGAGGGUGAGAGCCCCGUCUGGUUGGCCGCCAAGCCUGUGUGAAGCUCCUUCGACGAGUCGAGUAGUUUGGGAAUGCUGCUCUAAAUGGGAGGUAGACCCCUUCUAAAGCUAAAUACCGGCCAGAGACCGAUAGCGCACAAGUAGAGUGAUCGAAAGAUGAAAAGCACUUUGAAAAGAGGGUUAAACAGUACGUGAAAUUGUUGAAAGGGAAGCGCUUGUGACCAGACGUGCGUCGGGGUGUUCAGCGGGCGUUCUCGCCCGUGCACUCGCCCCGGUGCAGGCCAGCGUCGGUUCGGGAGGGGGGACAAAGGCGCCGGGAACGUAGCUCCUCCGGGAGUGUUAUAACCCGGCGUGUCAUGCCCCCGCCUGGACCGAGGUUCGCGCUCCGCAAGGACGCUGGCGUAAUGGUCCCCAGCGGCCCGUCUUGAAACACGGACCAAGGAGUCGAGGUUUUGCGCGAGUGUUUGGGUGUCAAACCCGCACGCGUAAUGAAAGUGAACGCAGGUGGGAGCUUCGGCGCACCACCGACCGAUCCUGAUGUUCUCGGAUGGAUUUGAGUAAGAGCGUAGGGCCUCGGACCCGAAAGAUGGUGAACUAUACGUGAAUAGGGUGAAGCCAGAGGAAACUCUGGUGGAGGCUCGCAGCGGUUCUGACGUGCAAAUCGAUCGUCAAAUUUGCGUAUGGGGGCGAAAGACUAAUCGAACCAU
rnacentral:rRNA from 1 species